UACGGAGGGGGGCUAGCGUUGUUCGGAAUUACUGGGCGUAAAGCGCACGUAGGCGGAUAUUUAAGUCGGGGGUGAAAUCCCGGGGCUCAACCCCGGAACUGCCUUCGAUACUGGGUAUCUUGAGUUCGGAAGAGGUGAGUGGAAUUGCGAGUGUAGAGGUGAAAUUCGUAGAUAUUCGCAGGAACACCAGUGGCGAAGGCGGCUCACUGGUCCGAUACUGACGCUGAGGUGCGAAAGCGUGGGGGAGCAAACAGG
rnacentral:rRNA from 1 species